UCCAGGUUCUUCUGGGCGGGAAAGGAUAAUAAGCAGAAGUACCAUAUGGUGAAAUGGUCGGAGAUCUGCAAACCAAAGGACUAGGGUGGCUUGGGCAUUAUCUCAUCCAAGCAGUUGAACAUUGCACUCCUUUCCAAGUGGCUAUGGAGGAUUACCUCAGGGGAGGACGGGCUCUGGUUGGAUAUCACCAACGCAAAAUACUUGCGUGGCCAGGGCCUAGCGUUUGCACAGAAAUCGGGGGGCUCCCAGUUUUGGCAAAUGAUCAUUGAGCUAUUGCCGGUCCUCCGCAUCGACUCUUCCAUUUUGGUUGGUGCUAGUACCACCACCCUCUUUUGGUUAGACCGAUGGUUCGGCCCCCAACCUUUCGCCAUCCGGUUUCAACCACCGUUCAACAUAUGUGUGGAUCCUAACCUCACCGUCGUGGCCGCCCCUGCAUGA
rnacentral:rRNA from 1 species